AUCCAGCUGAAGAGUCCCAAAUGAGAUUAAAUGUGCGUCCUGGAU
rnacentral:hammerhead_ribozyme from 1 species